rnacentral:rRNA from 2 species
GGGCCGCACGCGCGCUACACUGACUGAGCCAGCGAGUACAUCACCUUGGCCGAGAGGUCUGGGUAAUCUUGUGAAACUCAGUCGUGCUGGGGAUAGAGCAUUGCAAUUAUUGCUCUUCAACGAGGAAUACCUAGUAAGCGUGAGUCACCAACUCGCGUUGAUUACGUCCC